GAUGAACGCUGGCGGCGUGCCUAAUACAUGCAAGUCGAGCGAACGGACGAGAAGCUUGCUUCUCUGAUGUUAGCGGCGGACGGGUGAGUAACACGUGGAUAACCUACCUAUAAGACUGGGAUAACUUCGGGAAACCGGAGCUAAUACCGGAUAAUAUUUUGAACCGCAUGGUUCAAAAGUGAAAGACGGUCUUGCUGUCACUUAUAGAUGGAUCCGCGCUGCAUUAGCUAGUUGGUAAGGUAACGGCUUACCAAGGCAACGAUGCAUAGCCGACCUGAGAGGGUGAUCGGCCACACUGGAACUGAGACACGGUCCAGACUCCUACGGGAGGCAGCAGUAGGGAAUCUUCCGCAAUGGGCGAAAGCCUGACGGAGCAACGCCGCGUGAGUGAUGAAGGUCUUCGGAUCGUAAAACUCUGUUAUUAGGGAAGAACAUAUGUGUAAGUAACUGUGCACAUCUUGACGGUACCUAAUCAGAAAGCCACGGCUAACUACGUGCCAGCAGCCGCGGUAAUACGUAGGUGGCAAGCGUUAUCCGGAAUUAUUGGGCGUAAGCGCGCGUAGCGGUUUUUUAGUCUGAUGUGAAAGCCCACGGCUCAACCGUGGAGGGUCAUUGGAAACUGGAAAACUUGAGUGCAGAAGAGGAAAGUGGAAUUCCAUGUGUAGCGGUGAAAUGCGCAGAGAUAUGGAGGAACACCAGUGGCGAAGGCGACUUUCUGGUCUGUAACUGACGCUGAUGUGCGAAAGCGUGGGGAUCAAACAGGAUUAGAUACCCUGGUAGUCCACGCCGUAAACGAUGAGUGCUAAGUGUUAGGGGGUUUCCGCCCCUUAGUGCUGCAGCUAACGCAUUAAGCACUCCGCCUGGGGAGUACGACCGCAAGGUUGAAACUCAAAGGAAUUGACGGGGACCCGCACAAGCGGUGGAGCAUGUGGUUUAAUUCGAAGCAACGCGAAGAACCUUACCAAAUCUUGACAUCCUUUGACAACUCUAGAGAUAGAGCCUUCCCCUUCGGGGGACAAAGUGACAGGUGGUGCAUGGUUGUCGUCAGCUCGUGUCGUGAGAUGUUGGGUUAAGUCCCGCAACGAGCGCAACCCUUAAGCUUAGUUGCCAUCAUUAAGUUGGGCACUCUAAGUUGACUGCCGGUGACAAACCGGAGGAAGGUGGGGAUGACGUCAAACCAUCAUGCCCCUUAUGAUUUGGGCUACACACGUGCUACAAUGGACAAUACAAAGGGCAGCGAAACCGCGAGGUCAAGCAAAUCCCAUAAAGUUGUUCUCAGUUCGGAUUGUAGUCUGCAACUCGACUACAUGAAGCUGGAAUCGCUAGUAAUCGUAGAUCAGCAUGCUACGGUGAAUACGUUCCCGGGUCU
rnacentral:rRNA from 1 species